UUCUGCGAAAGCAUCUGCCAAGGAUGUUUUCAUUAAUCAAGAACGAAAGUUAGGGGAUCGAAGACGAUCAGAUACCGUCGUAGUCUUAACCAUAAACGAUGCCGACCAGCGAUUAGGAGACGUUGAAUACAAAACACCACCAUCGGCGCGGUCGUCCUUGGCGUUCGUGUUCACGCACGAGCGCGAGGGCGGUUUAGCCCGAUGGCACCGGUGAAUGACUCCCCUAGCAGCUUGUGAGA
rnacentral:rRNA from 1 species